rnacentral:rRNA from 1 species
UUUGAACGCUGGCGGCGUGCCUAACACAUGCAAGUCGAGCGGUAACAGGUGUAGCAAUACAUGCUGACGAGCGGCGAACGGGUGAGUAAUGCUUCGGAAUCUACCUUAUGGUGGGGAAUAACUAGCCGAAAGGUUAGCUAAUACCGCAUACGUCCUACGGGAGAAAGCAGGGGAUCGAAAGACCUUGCGCCAAAAGAUGAGCCGAAGUCGGAUUAGCUAGUUGGUAGGGUAACGGCCUACCAAGGCGACGAUCCGUAGCUGGUCUGAGAGGACGACCAGCCACACUGGGACUGAGACACGGCCCAGACUCCUACGGGAGGCAGCAGUGGGGAAUACUGGACAAUGGGGGAAACCCUGAUCCAGCGACGCCGCGUGUGUGAAGAAGGCCUGCGGGUUGUAAAGCACUUUUAGUGGGGAUGAAAUGUGCAGGGUUAAUACCUCUGCAUUUUGACCUAACCCACAGAAAAAGCACCGGCUAACUCUGUGCCAGCCGCCGCAGUAA